rnacentral:lncRNA from 1 species
UUUUAAGAUCGAUAAUCAACAGAAUUUUAUUUUAUCACUGUAUUAUUUUUGGAAGAUAAAUAUCGCGAGUAUUACGAGUUUCAACAGUCCGAGGACAAUUCGCCAUUCUAUUUCGAAAGGGAAACUGAUAUUUGAAGACUAUGUAAGAAAUUUGCCAAUUUACUACGAAAUUUACUCGAGUACAGACGGUAGAGAAAUAAAACCUAAUUCAGUGUCUCAAACCUGAUCCAUGAUUUACUGGUUACUUUAAUGUCAAUAAUGGUCCAACCAGAUCCAACAGCACUGAAUCAAGAUCAAACCAUAGCUUACUUUCAUGUAAGGGCUUUCCUUUCGAAUGCACUUUUAGAUUCAAAAUAAGGCACUUGCAUACUCUUAAAAUAGGAAUUGGAUUAUACUACUUUUUCCUCUAAGUAAUUCAUUUCACCAGGUGGAAUAUCGGUAUAAUAAAAUUUACCGUAUGUUGC